rnacentral:rRNA from 1 species
UACGUAGGGUGCAAGCGUUGUCCGGAAUUAUUGGGCGUAAAGAGCUCGUAGGCGGUUCGUCGCGUCGGCUGUGAAAACCUGAGGCUCAACCUCAGGCCUGCAGUCGAUACGGGCGGACUUGAGUACUGCAGGGGAGACUGGAAUUCCUGGUGUAGCGGUGAAAUGCGCAGAUAUCAGGAGGAACACCCGUGGCGAAGGCGGCUCUCUGGGACGGUACUGACGCUGAGACGCGAAAGCGUGGGGAGCGAACAGG